rnacentral:rRNA from 1 species
GUGGGGAAUAUUGCACAAUGGGCGCAAGCCUGAUGCAGCGACGCCGCGUGAGGGAUGACGGCCUUCGGGUUGUAAACCUCUUUCGACCCUGACGAAGCGCAAGUGACGGUAGGGGGAGAAGAAGCACCGGCCAACUACGUGCCAGCAGCCGCGGUAAGACGUAGGGUGCGAGCGUUGUCCGGAUUUAUUGGGCGUAAAGAGCUCGUAGGCGGCUCGUCGCGUCGACCGUGAAAACCCGCGGCUUAACUGCGGGCUUGCGGUUGAUACGGGCGGGCUAGAGUUCGGUAGGGGAGACUGGAAUUCCUGGUGUAGCGGUGAAAUGCGCAGAUAUCAGGAGGAACACCGGUGGCGAAGGCGGGUCUCUGGGCCGAUACUGACGCUGAGGAGCGAAAGCGUGGGGAGCGAACAGG